rnacentral:tRNA from 1 species
GUCUCUGUGGUGCAAAUGGCUAGCACAGCUGAUUCCAAAUCAGAAGGUACGUGUUCGAAUCACGUCAGAGUCC